ACGGAAGGCAGCAGUGGGGAAUAUUGCACAAUGGGGGAAACCCUGAUGCAGCGACGCCGCGUGAGUGAUGAAGUAUUUCGGUAUGUAAAGCUCUAUCGAUGGGGAAGAAAAUGACGGUACCCAAGUAAGAAGCCCCGGCUAACUACGUGCCAGCAGCCGCGGUAAUACGUAGGGGGCAAGCGUUAUCCGGAUUUACUGGGUGUAAAGGGAGCGUAGGUGGCAUGGCAAGUCAGAAGUGAAACCCCAGGGCUUAACCUUGGGAUUGCUUUUGAAACUGUUAAGCUAGAGUGCAGGAGGGGUAAGCGGAAUUCCUAGUGUAGCGGUGAAAUGCGUAGAUAUUAGGAAGAACACCGGUGGCGAAGGCGGCUUACUGGACUGUAACUGACACUGAGGCUCGAAAGCGUGGGGAGCAAACAGGAUUAGAUACCCUGGUA
rnacentral:rRNA from 1 species